ACCGAGUUGUUGCUGGUCCUCAAAUGGGGGCAUGUGCACGCUCUGUUUACACAUCCACUCACACCUGUGCACCCACUGUAGUUCUAUGGCCUGGGGGGCUCUGUCCUCUUGCUGUGGUCCUACGUCUUUACACACACACUGUAAUAAAGUUUCAUGGAAUGCAUGACGCGUCUAACGCAAUACAAUACAACUUUCAGCAACGGAUCUCUUGGCUCUCGCAUCGAUGAAGAACGCAGCGAAAUGCGAUAAGUAAUGUGAAUUGCAGAAUUCAGUGAAUCAUCGAAUCUUUGAACGCACCUUGCGCCCCCUGGCUAUUCCAGAGGGCAUGCCUGUUUGAGUAUCAUGAACACCUCAACUCUCAUGGUUUUGCCGUGAUGAGCUUGGACUUUGGGGGUCUUGCUGGCCUGUGGUCAGCUCCUCUCAAAUGAAUCAGCUUGCCAGUGUUUGGUGGCGUCACAGGUGUGAUAACUAUCUACGCUUGUGGUUUUCCACCAGGUAACCUUCAGUGAUGAAGGUUCGCUGGGAGCUCAUAAACGUCUCUCCUCAGCGAGGACAGCUUCUUGAAUGUUUGAUCUCAAAUCAGGUAGGGCUACCCGCUGAACUUAAGCAUAUCAAUAAGCGGGGAGGAACUUGGUCAUUUAGAGGAAGUAAGCGGAGGAGC
rnacentral:rRNA from 1 species